UUCCGGUUGAUCCUGCCGGACCCCACUGCUAUCGGGAUAGGACUAAGACAUGCUAGUCGUGUGCCUCAGCCAAAACGAGGCACGGCGCACAGCUCAGUAACACGUGGCUAACCUGCCCUUAGGACGAGAAUAACCCCGGGAAACUGGGGUUAAUGCUCGAUAGGUGAAGAACUCUGGAAUGAGUCUUCACUUAAAAGAGUCUGCGUUAUGCUCGUAGAUUUCGCUUAAGGAUGGGGCCGCGACCGAUCAGGUUGUUGGUGAGGUAAUGGCUCACCAAGCCUUUUACCGGUGCGGGCCGUGAGAGCGGGAGCCCGGAGAUGGGCACUGAGACAAGGGCCCAGGCCCUACGGGGCGCAGCAGUCGCGAAAACUUUGCAAUACACGAAAGUGUGACAGGGCUAUCCCGAGUGCCAUCCGCUGAGGAAGGCUUUUACCCAGUCUAGAAAGCUGGGAGAAUAAGGAGAGGGCAAGUCUGGUGUCAGCCGCCGCGGUAAUACCAGCUCUCCGAGUGGUGUGGAUGUUUAUUGGGCCUAAAGCGUCCGUAGCUGGCUAAGUUAGUCCCCUGCUAAAUCCAACGAAUUAAUCGUUGGAUCGCGGGGGAUACUGCUUGGCUAGGGGACGAGAGAGGCAGACGGUAUUUCCGGGGCAGGGGUGAAAUCCUAUAAUCCCGGGAAGACCACCAGUGGCGAAGGCUGUCUGCUAGAACGCGCCCGACGGUGAGGGAUGAAAGCUGGGGGAGCGAACCGGAUUAGAUACCCGGGUAGUCCCAGCUGUGAACGAUGCAGGCUAGGUGUUUGGACGGCCACGUGCCGUUCUAGUGCCGCAGGGAAGCUGUUAAGCCUGCCGCCUGGGGAGUACGAUCGCAAGAUUGAAACUUAAAGGAAUUGGCGGGGGAGCACCACAAGGGGUGAAGCUUGUGGUUUAAUUGGAUUCAACGCCGG
rnacentral:rRNA from 1 species